AUAAUACGUUGCUGCUUCUCUCCACAGGGAAGCUUGGACAACAUCAGUAUCAUCCUGCUGUGCUUCCCUGGAGCCCCCCAGCUGUCAGCGGAGGCAUUACACCAGGAAGCUGAACUGGAGGACCUGCUGGAGUCCAAAGUGGCAGAAAUUUAUGAUGAGUUGUGUGCUCGAGGAGAGGAACCUGACCUGCUGUCUGUCCUCACAGUCCUCGCUUCCACUGUCAUCCCAGGAUUACCACCAGGUGGAGGCAUACAGAGCAAAAGGAACUGCAUUAUUUCCGCUUACUAUCAACAAAGAGAGACACACAAGCCCACAUCACCAAAUGGUCUGGGAGAAUCCUGAGAAGUUUGCCUCCAGUGAUCCAUGAAGAGACUGUCAUUAAAGUCCAUGUUCAAACAGUUUUCUUCUUUAUGUGCAAUUUGAUGAAACAGGGAGAAGGUGAACAGCGGUCAUGUUUGUUUACGUCAUGCUAACAAUUAGCAUUGUGCCAUCAAAGAUACAAUGCAAAAAUCUAAAGUCUGAUACAUAAACAUAUAUAUUUAUAUAAGGACAUUUUGUAAAACGUUCUCAGCGACACUGACCCAGCAACAAACCUCUGCCUCAUAUUCAGUGAACAGACACUACAGAUGUUUAAGUCAAAUAAAGGCCUGUUAAACUGAAUAAUCAACUGUGAAAUUCACAAUAGGAUAGGAAGUGUAAGUUCAUGUAGUGAUGUAUUUUAAAUAUGAUGUUUUCAUGAAUAGAUAUAAUUAAAUAAUGAUUCAAAGAUAGUUUGCCUGCCUUUCAUAUCCUGGAAGGAAAGUUGUGAAACACUGUCAGUGCUAACCAAUAGCUAAGCCUGUGCUAAUGUGCAAUAUCCAUUUGUUACAAGAGGAGAUGCUAACAGCUAAUGGGAGAGCACAAUUUGUAAAAACAAAAUAUUGUUUUUUGUUCUUUACGGCUGGAAGUGACAGGCAUUUUCUUUUUCUUCUUCUGUAAAUUAAGUGACAACUCAAUCAUGGAAAAAAUACAUCAUCUUUUUUCUAAACGUGUAGAAUAAAAUCCAGUUUGCUAGGGUGUUGUUUGGAAAUGUAUUUUUUUGUUGCAAAUAAAAGUUACCUCUACAGUUUUAUUGUGUAGAAAUUUAAUAAAGUAUCCAAA